AUUUUUACCACAGCUGUCCCAGUGUUCUCCUGACCCCAGCUUGGAGGAACUAGUUGCAGAGAAAUUUAUCCAAAUAUACCUUCACAGAGGCUGUCAAACAUUCAGUAACACAGAUUUCUAUGAAUUUGUUAUUACUCAACAGCGAAACAAAUUGAUCUAAUUUAGAUGUACCCUGUUUGUGCAGUUUGUUCCAAAAUAUUUUUCAUGUGUUCAGUUUUUACACAGAAAUGCUGGAAGAUCUCAGGUUCAAAACGUCCCUGGAGAUGUUCUGCGGAUGCCUGGAGGCUUCUGAGGACACCUUUGUCUUGGUGAAUUUUCAGUUAAGUGCCCUCACAGCAAGCUCAAUGACAGGAACCCAUCCUGACACACAAGCCAAGGCUAAUGCUUUUCAUUGCACACCCCCUGCUUAUGCCGUGGGUGUUCCCAUGUGAGCUCCUGAAGGUAAUCACUGGUAAGAUGUGUGACAGUUCUCUACAUGACUGUGAUUGGAUUUCUUCAGUCCUUGGCACAAUCCCACCAACCUCUGCUAUCUCUCAUGUUUCAGGCAAGUCUUUGCUGUUCCCUUUUCAGGCAGAGUCACCUCAGCACAAUCAUAGUGCAGCCUGUUUGGACUUCUCUCACUUUUUCUCCUGUUUCCCUCCUUAACAGGAUAGAAGUCAAGAUGUACACCGCAGCAGAGAAUGGUUAUUUCUAGUAACACUGGUUGUCUCUAAGUCUUGACAGCUUUGCCAACUUUCUCACCUUACAUGCAUGAAGAAUCAGUUUCUCUCAGUGAGGAUAAUUUUUUUUUUUUUUUCUGAUGUACACACUAUUUUUUAAACCGCUAUCUUCUCAUAAGCUGUUCUUUACUGACUUUGGUCUCAGCAGCAGACGCGUUGCCAGAGGUCAUGUUCUGAUCUCCAUCCCACUAAUCUCUCCUUGUUUUUCUGUUGUCCUGGGGGAGUGGGGAAGGGAAGAAAGUACAGCAAAACAAAUGUCACUACAGUUGCAAAAACUGUUUCUGGCCUUGCAGCUUAUAUGAGUAUUGUUGUGUUCCUGUCAAAACUGAGCAUUGUACCAUGUGUCCUCAGGACAAUUUCUGAUGGCCCUCUGACCUCAUGGUGGCAUUACAGUGGUCUCUCUGGUUCUGUUUUCAGAAGUAAAAACCAAUCAAACAUCAACUUUCAUUUUAAGAUUCCACUAAAACCAGGUUUUGUUUUUCUGGUUUCCAGUCAUAUGUUGCAAUGAUUGAGAGUCAGAUGUUUGCAGGGCUCUUGAUGUGAACAACAUGGAUUUAAAUAGCAAGGAUUUUAUUCAUGUUCCAUCUGGGGUCUGCAGCUCACAGUCAAGGAGCUGUAUGGAAGCUGUUCACACAUCACCAGAAGCCGCUCGUGUCAAGGGGAGCCACCUUUCCCUUGCUGUUUCCCUGAAGGAGAGCAGGAGGUGCCAGGCAGAUGUGUCUGUGGCUAAGGGUCAUGGCUUAGUGGCUGUGCUGCUCCUCACCUUGGUGCCUUAGUGUCACCAUCUCCCCAGCACCCAGCAGCUGGACUGCCCUGGGGCUUGGGAGAGGGGACACACGGGGGCAGGUAUUCAUGUCAAGGCAGUAAGGGAGAGAUGUUGCCGGCUGAUGAGUUCUAUUCCCAUCCUUUUUUUGGACUGACUCUCCAGGGACACCCCCAAGUGAGUCCUCCUAGGCUUUAAGCUUGGUUACGUCCCACAUCUGCUUCCUUGUGCUGCCUAAGGAUGCUGGUGAAAGAUGAGAAGAGAAAGUAGAGUUCAGUCCGAGAGAAACCAGCUGGAUGGUUCCUCACACCACCUGCAGGAAGGCUGUGGGACUGGCAUGGGAGCCUGGUGAUGCUCGGAGUUUACAGUGAUGUGCAAAACCUUGGCUGCUAGUUAGGACGUCCCUAAAUGACAGUUUUUUUCUGGAGGAUAGGAAGGAUUACUACCAAAAUAGUGUCACGUGCUUUUCCUGUCCUGACAGUCUUAGAAGCCUGCUUUUUAGGAGCCACUGAAGACAAGACAGACAGGCUUUUGGCUUGAUUGAUGGAUUGUCCUUUCUCUUAUGCUUUCUUAGAGUUUGUCUUUAGCCAGAGCACAAAUUUUGGUGGAGCAUUAUGAAUCUGCUGAACAUUUGCUGGAUUCACAAGGGUGCCUCUUGAAAAUGGUACUACUACCAAGCAGCUAGGAGGGCUCAUUGCUCCAGGAUUACAGCAUGUUCUGUUCAACUCUUAGUGGUAUGUACAGGGGAGGUAAAUAAAAGCACUGAAAGGAGCCCA
rnacentral:lncRNA from 1 species